AGAGAUAGAGCGAUGAUAGAUAAAAAGCCUUCUGAACUCUUGUUUGGAUACAGCAAGUCGUCUAGGCCCUGAUGCAGUAUAUUAUAAUUAUGAUGGUUUUACUCGCAUAUCUUUUGAUAUGACUGGGAUGAAACAGAUCUAAUAAUGUGUCACCUGCAAAAUAAAAAGCUCUCUCUUAUAAUAAAGAGGCCAAUCCUCCAAUGAUCUCUCGUUAAGAGAGAUGAAGAUGAAGUGCAAAGAAAAGACAUACAAACUAGGAAGACAAUGGAUCCCCAUGGACACAUGUCUGAUGUUCAAGGAUGAUGUAGGCAUUCGACUGUGCACAUGUGAGGGAUCUAGGACCCGCGUCGACCUCGACAACCAAGUGGUGAUCCGACCGAUGACUUGAGCAUGUGGAUUCAUUUAAUGUAAAUACUAUUUGCCAUGGAUUGGUGGGAGUUGGUGGGCUGUAUGCUGGAGAUCCUACAAGGAUGCCUCCUUUCGGCUGGGCAGAGCCACCACGCACGAAGCGAUUCCCUUCACCUUAUCUUAUCCCGAUCGGGUCUAAUCGGAUGACGAGGGAGAGCAUCUGCCCUACCUCCCUGUCCACGUUC
rnacentral:lncRNA from 1 species